UACGUAGGGAGCAAGCGUUGUUCGGAUUUACUGGGCGUAAAGGGCGCGUAGGCGGCGCGGUAAGUCAAUUGUGAAAUCUCUGAGCUUAACUCAGAACGGCCAAGUGAUACUGCAGUGCUAGAGUGCAGAAGGGGCAAUCGGAAUUCUUGGUGUAGCGGUGAAAUGCGUAGAUAUCAAGAGGAACACCUGAGGUGAAGACGGGUUGCUGGGCUGACACUGACGCUGAGGCGCGAAAGCCAGGGGAGCAAACGGG
rnacentral:rRNA from 1 species